rnacentral:rRNA from 1 species
GUGCCAGCAGCCGCGGUAAUACGUAGGUGGCAAGCGUUAUCCGGAAUUAUUGGGCGUAAAGCGCGCGCAGGCGGUUUCUUAAGUCUGAUGUGAAAGCCCACGGCUCAACCGUGGAGGGUCAUUGGAAACUGGGAGACUUGAGUGCAGAAGAGGAAAGUGGAAUUCCAUGUGUAGCGGUGAAAUGCGUAGAGAUCGGGAGGAACACCAGUGGAGAAUGCGACUUUCUGGGCUGUAACUGACACUGAGGCGCGAAAGCGUGGGGAGCAAACAGGAUUAGAUACCCUGGUCG